CAUUACAGUUCAGCAGUAGUGCUCAGC
rnacentral:sRNA from 1 species